rnacentral:lncRNA from 1 species
AGGAAACAUUAACAAAAUUCACAGGUACAGAUCCCACGCAACGUCCACGCAUUCCUAAACUUCACAACUCACAACAGUCAAACAAUAUAAUACACUGUAUGAACACACGCAUUCUACCAAAAUUUAUUAAUGCAGAAAUAACACUCGUAGAAAUACACACACUUAUUUAUGCAGCUGCUGUCACUAUCACUACACAACUAGGUCUUAAAACACUUCCAGAUAAGCUGGGCACUAACACAAGACACCACUUAAAGCCUGCCUGGCAAAAACAACUCGAAAAACAAAUAAACGAAAUCAGAACAGAAUAGGAAGACUCACUCAAUACACACAUCAACAAAUCACAUCAGCAAAACUUAUGAAAUCUAUUAGAAAGAUUUUCAGAAAACUAAAAACACCACACAUGGCAUGAAACCACAAUACAUACAUUAAAGAAUACAUAGACAUACAAAAACAGAAACUUAUAGCAAAAUCAAAAUGUGU